GCCGCCUUAGCUCAGUCGGCCAGAGCAGCUGUCUUGUAAACAGCAGGUCGUCGGUUCGAAUCCGACAGGCGGCU
rnacentral:tRNA from 3 species